AGCAAUACCGCACUGAUAUGGGUAUGGAUCCGAAGCUUCUCGAAGGAUAAUAUAGGCACUCCAUACACUAGUCUGACUCAUAACGUCAACGUCGUACAGAAUGGUAACAUACUACUGUGUCAACGGUAUAGUACUGUGUACUAUACUCAGUACGUCAACGUCGUACAGA
rnacentral:ribozyme from 1 species